UACGUAGGUGACGAGCGUUAUCCGGAAUUAUUGGGCGUAAAGCGCACGCAAGCGGUUUUGCAAGUCUGACGUGAAAUCUCCUGGCUUAACUGGGAGCGGUCGUUGGAAACUGCGAAGCUUGAGGCGAUGAGAGGGGUGCAGAAUUCCCGGUGUAGUGGUGGAAUGCGUAGAGAUCGGGGGGAAUACCUGUGGCGAAAGCGGCACCCUGGCGUCGUUCUGACGCUCAUGUGCGAAAGCGUGGGGAGCGAACGGGAUUAGAAACCCCCGUAGUCC
rnacentral:rRNA from 1 species